rnacentral:rRNA from 1 species
AGUGAACGCUGGCGGUAGGCCUAACACAUGCAAGUCGAACGGCAGCACAGUAAGAGCUUGCUCUUACGGGUGGCGAGUGGCGGACGGGUGAGGAAUACAUCGGAAUCUACUUUUUCGUGGGGGAUAACGUAGGGAAACUUACGCUAAUACCGCAUACGACCUACGGGUGAAAGCAGGGGAUCUUCGGACCUUGCGCGAUUGAAUGAGCCGAUGUCGGAUUAGCUAGUUGGCGGGGUAAAGGCGCACCAAGGCGACGAUCCGUAGCUGGUCUGAGAGGAUGAUCAGCCACACUGGAACUGAGACACGGUCCAGACUCCUACGGGAGGCAGCAGUGGGGAAUAUUGGACAAUGGGCGCAAGCCUGAUCCAGCCAUACCGCGUGGGUGAAGAAGGCCUUCGGGUUGUAAAGCCCUUUUGUUGGGAAAGAAAAGCAGCAGGUUAAUACCACGCUGUUCUGACGGUACCCAAAGAAUAAGCACCGGCUAACUUCGUG